AUAGUACUGUGAAGGAAAGGUGAAAAGGACCCCGGGAGGGGAGUGAAAGAGAACCUGAAACCCUGUGUCUACAAGCUGUGGAAGUACUUUAUAUGUACGACCGCGUACUUUUUGUAGAACGGUCCGGCGAGUUACGCUUACUGGCAAGGUUAAGCACUUCAGGUGUGGAGCCGUAGGGAAACCAAGUCUUAAGAGGGCCAGAGUCAGUAGGAGUAGACCCGAAACCGGGUGAUCUAUCCAUGUCCAGGUUGAAGUUGCCGUAAAAGGCAAUGGAGGACCGAACCCACAUCCGUUGAAAAGGGUGGGGAUGAGGUGUGGAUAGGGGAGAAAUUCCAAUCGAACCCGGAGAUAGCUGGUUCUCCUCGAAAUAGCUUUAGGGCUAGCCUCGAUACAGAUUUGCGGAGGUAGAGCACUGAAUUUCCUAGGGGGCGUCAAAGCCUACCGAAGAAUAUCAAACUCCGAAUGCCGUGUAAUUGCUUACCAGGAGUCAGACUGCACGAGAUAAGUUGGGCAGUCAAAAGGGAAAGAGCCCAGACCUUCAGUUAAGGUCCCAAAGUGUGCGUUAAGUGGAAAAGGAUGUGGGAUUUCGAAGACAACCAGGAUGUUGGCUCAGAAGCAGCCAUUCAUUCAAAGAGUGCGUAAUAGCUCACUGGUCGAGAGGUCCUGCGCCGAAAAUGUCCGGGGCUGAAACGCGCCACCGAAACUAAGGAACCGAAAGGUUGGUAGAGGAGCAUUGCAUGCGGGAAGAAGCAGUACCGGAAGGAGCUGUGGACUUUUAAGAAGAGAGAAUGCCGGAAUGAGUAGCGAGAGGAAGGUGAGAAUCCUUCCGGCCGAAUAUCUAAGGUUUCCAGAGUAAAGCUGAUCUGCUCUGGGUAAGUCGGGGCCUAAGGCGAGGACGAGAGUCGUAGCCGAUGGACAACAGGUGGAGAUUCCUGUACUAUGAUAUGACAGAACUGUGGGGACACGUGCAGAGAGCGGAAGCCGGGAAUGGGAUCCCGGUGCAAGCGAGGUACCAGCCGCAUUGGAAAAACCGUGCGGCAAUGGGAAGACGUGAUGCGGAGUGAAGUUUAGUAAUGAAGUCCGUGAGCUGUGCGUCAAGAAAAGCCGCUAUUGUUCAUACCAUACCCGUACCGUAAACCGACACAGGUGGAUGAGGAGAGAAUCCUAAGGCCGGCGGAAGAAGCAUUGUCAAGGAACUCGGCAAAAUGACCCCGUAACUUCGGGAGAAGGGGUGCCUGCGAGAGCAGGCCGCAGAGAAUAGGCUCAAGCAACUGUUUAGCAAAAACACAGGUCUAUGCGAAACCGAAAGGUGAGGUAUAUGGGCUGACGCCUGCCCGGUGCUGGAAGGUUAAGAGGAGAGGUUAGCGCAAGCGAAGCUUUGAAUUUAAGCCCCAGUAAACGGCGGCCGUAACUAUAACGGUCCUAAGGUAGCGAAAUUCCUUGUCGGGUAAG
rnacentral:rRNA from 1 species